rnacentral:misc_RNA from 1 species
UCCGAGUUGUCCCCGGCAGUCCUUUUAGAGUCCCCGGCAUUACCCGCUGGCAACUAAGAGCAGGGGUUGCGCUCGUUGCGGCACUUAAGCCAACACCUCACGGCACGAGCUGACGACAGCCAUGCAGCACCUGUGCUGGCCCCUUACGGAGCCCUGCUUUCACCGGCUUUAACUAGCAUGUCAAGCCUAGGUAAGGUUCUUCGCGUUGCAUCGAAUUAAGCCACAUACUCCACCGCUUGUGCAGGCCCCCGUCAAUUUCUUUGAGUUUUAAUCUUGCGACCGUACUUCCCAGGCGGCACAUUUAACGCGUUUGCUACGCCACGAAAGGGGUCGAAUCCUCUCACAGCAAAUGUGCACCGUUUAGGGCUAGGACUAC